rnacentral:rRNA from 1 species
AGAAUUGAUCUGGUUCAGAACGAACGCUGGCGGCGCGUCUUAAGCAUGCAAGUCGAACGGCAAGAGGUAGCAAUACCUCCUAGAGUGGCGGACUGGUGAGUAACACGUGGGUGACAUACCCUUCAGAUGGGGAUAGCUAUUAGAAAUAGUAGAUAAUACCGAAUACGAGCACAGGGGUUAGAGAUCUGUGAGGAAAGGAGCUAAGGCUCCGCUGAAGGAAUGGCCUGCGGCCCAUUAGCUAGUUGGUGAGGUAAGAGCCCACCAAGGCGAUGAUGGGUAUCCGGCCUUAGAGGGUGAACGGACACAUUGGGACUGAGAUACGGCCCAGACUCCUAUGGGAGGCAGCAGCUAAGAAUAUUCCGCAAUGGACGAAAGUCUGACGGAGCGACGCCGCGUGGAUGAAGAAGGCCGGAAGGUUGUAAAAUCCUUUUGAAACUGAAGAAUAAGCGUUGUAGGGAAUGACAGCGUGGUGACAGUAGGUUUUGAAUAAGCAACGGCUAAUUACGUGCCAGCCGCAGC